rnacentral:rRNA from 1 species
UACGAAGGGGGCUAGCGUUGCUCGGAAUCACUGGGCGUAAAGCGCACGUAGGCGGCUUUCUAAGUCAGGGGUGAAAUCCUGGAGCUCAACUCCAGAACUGCCUUUGAUACUGGAGAGCUCGAGUCCGGAAGAGGUGAGUGGAACUGCGAGUGUAGAGGUGAAAUUCGUAGAUAUUCGCAAGAACACCAGUGGCGAAGGCGGCUCACUGGCCCGAUACUGACGCUGAGGCACGAAAGCGUGGGGAGCAAACAGG